rnacentral:rRNA from 1 species
AUUGAACGCUGGCGGCGUGCUUUACACAUGCAAGUCGAGCGGCAGCACGGUCUUCGGACUGGUGGCGAGCGGCGAACGGGUGAGUAAUACAUCGGAACGUACCUUUUAGUGGUGGAUAACGCAUCGAAAGAUGUGCUAAUACAGCAUAAUCUCUGAGGAGGAAAGGCGGGGACCUUCGGGCCUGUCGCUGAAAGAGCGGCCGAUGGCUGAUUAGCUAGUUGGAGGGGUAAAAGCCCACCAAGGCGAUGAUCAGUAGCUGUUCUGAGAGGAAGAUCAGCCACACUGGGACUGAGACACGGCCCAGACUCCUACGGGAGGCAGCAGUGGGGAAUUUUGGACAAUGGGGGGAACCCUGAUCCAGCAACGCCGCGUGAAUGAAGAAGGCCUUCGGGUUGUAAAGUUCUUUUGUCGCAGAGCAAAAGGUAGGUGCUAAUAUCACCUGCUGAUGAGAGUAUGCGAAGAAUAAGCACCGGCUAACUACGUG